rnacentral:rRNA from 1 species
UGGGCAACCUGCCCUCAGCUCUGGGAUAACCCCGGGAAACCGGGGCUAAUACCGGAUACGACCUCCGCGGGCAUCUGCGGAGGUGGAAAGGUUUUUUCGGCUGAGGAUGGGCCCGCGGCCAAUCAGCUAGUUGGUGGGGUGAUGGCCCACCAAGGCGACGACGGGUAGCCGGCCUGAGAGGGCGACCGGCCACACUGGGACUGAGACACGGCCCAGACUCCUACGGGA